GCCUCAUGCUAUAUAAAGUCAAUGGGCACUAUUGGAUUGUUCCCCCCUGGUGGGCGUGGUUUUCAGAUUAUGACACGUGUCACUCUGUCAGCGCUAGUGAGAUGGCCAAUCAAAUCAAAGAAGGCGGGUCUAACAGAAGACGAGUGAAUUCCAGCAGAACACUUUAGUUUUGUCUCUGAAAGAGCAUGUGACAGCUAAACUAAUAUUUAAUUGUUUUACGAGAAAUGCUGAACGACCGACAGUAAUAUCCAGGGAUGCAAGCAACUCAACUUUUUAAAAAAUGUCACUGUUUUGAAUGUAAAAUAUGAUAUAAUUUACAUUUGAUUAGUAACUCAUAACUAAAUGUGACGAGACAAGAAGCGUUUUGCGUUUGCGACAGAUCAGAUAUCGGUAAGAGUGAACAUGUGCAUAUUUUAAAACAAAACCGUAUUUGCAAAUAGUUUAAAUUGAUUAGGCCUACACAACUGCAGUAGAACUUAUUUUACAAUUUACUUUCAUUUAUUCCCUUAAUCCUUUUAAUACUUAAUUAUUUAAUUCCUUUAAAACAACAACCCCCAGGUAGAAAAGUAAUUGGUGUAAUAUAUAUUCCUUUAUUUUAUAUAAUAUUCUUUGAUUUUAGAGGUGCCCAUAUCUUUUCAAAAAGUAUACUUUUGCUCUUUCAUGUUAUCAUUUACAUCAAAUGUACUCUGGAAACUAGAUCUAGAUCUAAGAUGAUAAAGGAGCAUAGAGAUAUGGAUAUGCACCAGAUCUGCAGAUUUGACCCUCUGUUCAAGUAAAGUCUCAUUUAUUGAUAUAGUGCUCUUUAUUGCUUCAAAGCAGCAACACUGGAAAAACAGCAUAAGCGUGCCAGAGUUCUUCAAUCUCAGGAAUCUGAAUUUCAAUUAUAACUUCAAUUUCAACACUAAAGCACCUUCACACUGUGUUUAUGUUUUUACUCAUGUCUAACCUUGAACUGAAGAAAUUAACCAGAAGAGAUUUUCACGUCAAAAAAAAUGGAGGACCAAAGCACAUCUAUUAUAUCUUCAUCAUGGACCAAUGGCAGUUUAAAGGUGUUUAACAGCCAGAAACAGUAACACAGAAGUAACAAAACUAUUUGAAGGACAGCCAGACCAUCUGACUCUGUCAACAUCUCAGUUUCUCCUUGACAGUGACAUGUUUGUGAUGGCAGAGGAUCCUCAGAGACUGACACAGUUUAGAUUGAAGACGCUGUGACACUGAUGUUCACAACACCAUCAAUUCACUUGAUGGAGACUCUGAAGUGUCUGCAGAGGAGAAAGAGGAGGGCAGUCGUGGGUUUAUCACUGUCCUGAGACCUGCCAGGAGUCAGAGAGAGGAAUCAGAGACGCUUAAAUGAGCAGCAGCUUCUCCUUCACACUGGAAGGACUUCAAUUAAUAUGAUGCAUUCGUGAUACUAUGCACUGAAUUUUGAAACACAAUUCUGACAAUCCACUGUGAUAAUUUAGAAAAUAUUAGCUCAAAUAUAAUUUCAGUCUGUGUCAUUAUUAUGGUUUAUCAAGUUCAAAUAAACAGACUGGUUAAAUUACUAAAUCAAAUCUUAACAGUUCAGGAAUUCAAUUACUAGUGUAAAUUACAGUAUUCCUGUGUUAUGGAUUAAAGCAUUCAAAUUGCAGAUAGUUGGAGGUUCUUCACGUCAGGUAAAGCAGGUAAGAAGAGGUUACAAGAGACCAUGAGCACUUCUGACAGAGAGGAAAGAUGUCAUUCCUCUGUAUUUACACAGGCAGUUACAGUGUUAUCAACACUGCACCUCAUGUGCUCAUCUGUCUGAGUGAGAAUACAUCAUUAAAUUAACUACAAUAUCUUGCUCUGCAGUGCAUCAUCUCUGAAGCAAAAAUCAGAAAGUAACAAAUUCAUUGCAACUUAAAUUUUAAAGCUGCAUUUUUUUAUGCACAUAGAUGCAAACUCUUCACCUUUCUGUGACAACUCACCUUUUUGAGAUCAAAAUAGGUAAUGUAUGGUAUUUGAAUAGAUCAGCCAAUAUUGUCUUAAAUAGCCUGCAUAGCACUUCAUCUUUUAUAACAUGAGAUUUUGACCGAAUCUGUUCAAUCUUGAUUUUGGUAAAAUGUUGCAGCAAUAUGUAAUUUUUUAUUGAUUACAGUCUUGGACAUAUAAGGUAAUAAAUAAUUAAAAAACAAAACAAAACAAAAAACACUUAAAUCCCUGAGUGCAGCCUUGAAGACAAAUGUAGAGUUGCUGCAUACAUGAGGACCAGUGUUGCCAAUGCCAAGUUACUUUUUUUUUUACCUAAACUUGUAUUUACAAUCAUUUUGAGAGCAUGUGAAGGCAGCAUUACAUUACAUCUUGUAAAAUGGGGCAUAAUAGCUUCUUCUUUAGUCCAUUAACUAACAUGAAGCAACAAUGAACAA